UACGGAGGGAGCUAGCGUUGUUCGGAAUUACUGGGCGUAAAGCGCGCGUAGGCGGUUACUCAAGUCAGAGGUGAAAGCCCGGGGCUCGACCCCGGAACUGCCUUUGAAACUAGGUGACUAGAAUCUUGGAGAGGUCAGUGGAAUUCCGAGUGUAGAGGUGAAAUUCGUAGAUAUUCGGAAGAACACCAGUGGCGAAGGCGACUGACUGGACAAGUAUUGACGCUGAGGUGCGAAAGCGUGGGGAGCAAACAGG
rnacentral:rRNA from 1 species